rnacentral:lncRNA from 1 species
UUUUUUUUUCCUUUAAUCUGUCAGUGAAGACUUAGAAAACCCUUCCUCAACACAAUUGUUUCAUUCAGCCCUAUUUGUCAACUUCUGAAACUCUAUCCAAAAUUCUCUUUUUCCUGACAACAAAUAAUCUAUCAGACAAUUUAAAAUCAACAAAAUAGAUCAGACUAGUUCCAAUUUCCAUGAGACUUUUUACCUUAUUUUUUCUCAUUUCAAUCUUAAGGACGAAAAUGAUAUUUUUAUAUUAUUGAGAGGAAACCAUUACAUGGUCUAUUUUUAUUAUUUUAUUGUUCUAGAAAACUGACAAAUAUUAAAUAAACAAUGAGAGGUAGUAAUUAUACCACCUUAUGUUUUAAAAUCACAACCUUAAAAACAGACUUUCAAUUUUUAAUGGUCAAUUGACCUCUCACUUUCAUGUCUUCUGACAUCCAUGAUGAAAAUGAUAGGAAUGGAAUGAAAUGGCACAUACAGAACCAACAACAAUAAAAAAAUUGGAUUAGGGAAGGAAGAUCUAUAAGCGGAAAUUUUCUUUUUUUUAAUAAUGAUUUUUAUUUUUUACAUUAUAGCUGAUUUACAGUGUUCUGUCAAUUUUCUGUUGCACAGCAAGGUGACCCAGUCACACAUACAUGUACACAUUCUUUCUUCUCACAUUAUCAUACUCCAUCACAAGUGACCAGACAUAGUUCCCAGUGAUAUACAGCAGGAUCCCAAUGCUUAUCCAUUCCAAAGGCUAUAGUUUGCAUCUAUUAAUCCCAAAUUGCCAGUCCCUCCUACUCCCUCCCCCUCCCUCUUGGCAACCACAAGUCUGUUCUCCAUGUCCAUGAUUUUCUUUUCUUUGGAAAGGUUAUUUGUACCCUAUAUUAGAUUCAGAUAUGUGGUAUCAUAUGGUAUUUGUCUUUCUCUUUCUGACUUACUUCACUUAGUAUUAGAGUCCUCUAGUUCCAUCUGUGUUGCUGCAAAUGGCAUUAUCUUAUUCUUUUCAUGGCUGAGUAGUAUUCCAUUAUGUAUAUAUACCACAUCUUCUUAAUCCAAUUGUCUGUCGAUGGACACUUAGGUUGUUUUUCUUUUGUUUUUCUUGUUGCUAGACUGUGUUAAGGGACAUUCUAUAAAAUACCUGACUAAUACACUACUCAAGACUGUCAAGGUCAUGAAAACUAAGAAAAGUCUGAGAAAAUGUCACAGCCAAGAGGAGCCUAAGGACACAACAGCUAAAUGUAAUAUAAUAUUUUGAAUGGGAUCCAGGCAAAGAAAAAUAACAUUAGAUAAAAACUAAGGUGUUCUGGGAAAAAGUAAGGACUUUAGUUACUAAUGAUGUAUCAAUAUUAGUUCUUAAUUAUGACAAAAAGCACACUGAUGUAAGAUAUUAACAGCAGGGAAAACAGUCAGUGGGAUACAUGGGAACUCUGUGUACUAUCUUUUCAAUUUUUCUGUGUUCUAAAAUAAAGUUUAUUUUUGAAAGAGUCAACAGACCUCAUUCUUGUACACAUAGCUGCCAAUUAACUUUUUAUUGUACCAAUCUCAAAUAUGUGGGAUAACCAAAAAGAGCUAAACAUUUGAGGGAAAAAACUGCAAUAUAAAAGUGAGAUAUAAACAACAAUAACAAAAUGACCUCCCAGAAGAAGCAAAAGAAAAUAAAAGAAAUGUGAAAACAAGUUUAAGUAGCAUUCUCAUAGAAAUUCAAGAAUAUAAUGCAUUCGUGAUAUAUAAGCAAGGUUCUUUGGAAAAGGAACAAUCAGAAAAUGUGAAAAUACUCUGAAAUUUAAAAUAUGAUAAUCAUUGCUGAAAUUUUAAAAGAAACCAAAAGGUUUGGGGAAAAAAAAGUCAAAUAAAUAUUCCAGAGUGUAGACCAAAAAGGUGAAGUGAUUUUAAAAAUAUGGAAGAGAAAGAUCUGGGGGGAGGGGGAGGGGAAGGUGGUGAAAUUCACACUGCCCUAUAUCAUUUUUUCUAAUUUUAGUAAAAUAAAAAAUUUUACCAUCUUAACCAUUUUAAGUGUACAAAUCUGUAGCAUUAAGUCUAUUCACACUGUUAAGCAACCAUCACCACCAUCCAUCUCCAGAAUUCUUUUCAUCUUCCAAAACCGAAACUCUAUAUACCCACUCAACAAAACUCUCCAUUCUCCCCUUCUCCCUGGUAACCACCACUCUACUUUGUCACUAUGAAUCUGACUACUCUAGAUAUCUCAUAUAAAUGGAACUAUACAAUAUUUGUCCUUUUGUGACUCAUUUCACUUUAGCAAAAUGUCCCCAAGUUUCAUCCGCGUCAUAGCAUGUUAGAAUCUCCUUCCUUUUGAAGACUGA